UACGGAGGGGGCAAGCGUUGUUCGGAAUUACUGGGCGUAAAGGGCGCGCAGGCGGCUGCUCAAGUCAGGCGUGAAAGGCCUGGGCUCAACCCGGGAAUUGCGCUUGAGACUGGGCUGGCUUGAGUGCGGGAGAGGAUGGUGGAAUUCCCAGUGUAGAGGUGAAAUGCGUAGAUAUCUGGAGGAAUACCGGUGGCGAAGGCGGCAUCCUGGACCGGCAUUGACGCUGAGGAGCGAAAGCUAGGGGAGCAAACGGG
rnacentral:rRNA from 1 species